CUGCACACAACGGGAACUCCCAAUAGCCAUUCUGACGGAUGUGAGACGAUAUCUCAUUGUAGUUUUGAUUUGCAUUUCUCUAAUAAUUAAUGGUGUUGAGCUCUCUCCAUGGGUUUUUUGGCCAUCUGUAUGAACCAAGAUAUAUGGAUGUUAUUUCUAAAUAGUCUUCUGUUGUUGUCCUUAGCACUUACUGUAAUCAUUUCAGAAAUUUGGUUGUUUUUGUGUUUUCUUCAGAGGAGGUUGCAGCAUUGUAUGUUGGAUUUAUCACAGUAUUUCUUUUCCUCCAAUAUAAUUUACAGACAUAUUUUAAACAAUUUGCCACUAUUUUAAAGCAGGCAAUGAUCACUUUGUUUUAAUGUGAAGUAUGGCACUUAAAAUGGAAAAUGUUUAUGUAAAGAAAAAUGAUGAAAUUAAUCUUUAUAACCCAGGUCCGAAACGUAUUUUUGAAACAUUUGUUUAAUGUCCUUUUAGAGAGGUUGAGUGCUGCAUGAUAAAUGGUCAGCCAUAAGUUGCAGUAGCCCUCUUGAAAAUCUCACUCAGGAGUUCCCCUCGUGGCGCAGUGGUUAACGAAUCCGACUAGGAACCAUGAGGUUGCGGGUUCGAUCCCUGCCCUUGCUCAGCAGGUUAACGAUCCGGCGUUGCCGUGAGCUGUGGUGUAGGUUGCAGACGCGGCUCGGAUCCUGCGUUGCUGUGGCUCUGGCGUAGGCGGGCAGCUACAGCUCCGAUUAGACCCCUAGCCUGGGAACCUCCAUAUGCCGUGGGAGCGGCCCAAGAAAUAGCAAAAAAAAAAAAAAAAGACAAAAAAAAAAAAAGAAAAUCUCACUCAACAAAACAUUUGAAGUCUUGUGACCCAACCUCCUUGAAGAGCCAUUAUUUUUUGACUAAAAUCCUUGUGAAGAGUCUACCUCUACCAUAACCUGAGGGACUUAGCCAACAGUUCCUCUCAACCACACUCAGAGCUCUUGCUUAGAGGAGAUAUGAUUCCAUUUUCCUUUGAUCUGCCAGUGAUGUUUUGACAGCUCUCAUAGAUCGGGCUUAGGCAUUUUCCUUAAUCCACCUCCCUUCUCUUUGAAUGAAAAUAUCUACAUAUUAAAACUCUUUCCCGGGGUUCCCUUUGUGGCGUGGCAGAAAAGAAUCCGACUAGAAUCCAUGGGGAUUCAGGUUCAAUCACUGGCCUCACUCAGUGGGUCAGGGAUCCUGCGUUGCUGUGAGCUGUGGUGUAGGUUGCAGAUGUGGCUCGGAUCCCAUAGUUGCUGUGGCUGUGGCGUAGGCCAUCGGCUGCAGCUCUGAGUUGACUCCUAGCCUGGGAACUUCCAUACGCCAUGGGUGC
rnacentral:lncRNA from 1 species